AGACUUUGAAGGCAGCCUUUGACCUUGGAAAGUACUGGAGAGACCAGUGUCAAGGCUCAGCAUUUGGCCUGUGAUGGCAGAAAUAAAACUACCAGGAUCCACCAGGCCACCCAGCCCGGGUGUGGAGACUAGACGCACAGCAACCUAAGGCUGAUUUAGGAGAAGCUCAGAGUGCGGGUUCAACAGCACCAAGCCCAAGCGUGGCAAAAAUGUGGCUGAGGUUUUCUUGAGCUUAGCACGUGUUGGGAUUUUCGGAUCAUCAAAGUGUGGCUGCUACGGGGUUUCACUGAACGCUGGAAAGACCAGUGAGUGAGAGAUCAUUUUCCUGAAUAGGUCCUCAUUUUAGCUGAAGCUCUUUCAUUUUGGAAAAGAGAUGCCUGAUGCAACCACAACAUACCAAGGCAGGGAGGAAAAGAGUAUGUUGAAUUCUCGAACAGGAAAGAAGUCAUUCCCACUGCCGUUUGUUGGAACUACAACAAGAAGCCAGACAGGAGUAAACACCUGUUGGUGACCUUUUUUCACUUGUAAACAAAAGGAUUGAUGAAUACACGUCUGAAACCCGAGAUGUUUGUGAGUUGAGAACUCCUGGAUGGAAAAUUUUACAAAUGCUGUCCCACCUCAGAUACAGAACGGGUCUCACGGCAGCCGCCCACCUAGAACGUGGAGCCACGGAUCUCACAUUCCUGGUCUCUCCUGCACGUCAGCGAGGUGGCAGGUCUCCGUGUGUACCACUUACUUGCUAACUGUGUGAGAGGAAGAGGCCUUUGCACAACGUGGAAGGAAAUGGCCGGAAACAAGGACACACGGGUUCCAGAGUUCAUGUAAAGUACAGAACGUUCAGGCAAGAGGGUGAAAGUGCGUGGGUGGGUUUUCAGUUCACAAACUAUCUUGCUCUAGAAGAGAAGAUAGACGCUCCUUGUUGGUCCAGGAAAGACACAAAGGUUUGACGUAGCAGGAAAUGAUCCCUUUAAAGAAAACCUUUAUCUGACUGAUCCCAGGCUGCAAAGUGAGAGUUUUCCAGGAAGAAGCCACCUGGGGGCUGUGGUCUGCAGCCGUAUUUUAAAGGCUGAAGUACAGUCUUUGACAAAACUCACUCAUUUUUUUCCCCUCAAAGAUCUUUUAGGGGGUUUAACAAAACUUUAAAUUUCACUGAAGACAGGAAAAUACAGGACAAACUAGAGCUGCCAAAUCUUUGGUCAAGAGAAAGGUUUUUAUUGUGACUUUGCUCUUCUCGGGCCUCUCCAACCCAACCAGAAAAAAACCCCAAGACACAGGGACAAUGAGGCCGCUGCUCUCUGAGCCCCGGGUGCUUCUUGCUUCCGAGGAUACGAGGUGCUGAAAGAUGCCGCCUCGACUCCAGAUGAUGCCUCUAGAAGCCGAGAGCCGUCCCGGCUGACGGCCAGCAAGGGCACUGGGGCCUCAGUCCCACAACCACAGGAACUGGAUUUUGCCAACAGCCUCGUAGCUUGGGGAGGGCCCUGAGCCCCAGGCAGGGGCGCAGCCUGGCCAACAGCUUUCUUCAGUUUUGUGAAACUCUGAGCAGAGGACCUGGCUCGGUUGGGCCUGGACUUCUGACCUGCAGAAACUGUGGAGAUAAUGAAAGAUUGCCAUUGGAAGUCACUAAAUUUGCGGCAAUUGUUUAUGAGCAAUGGGAAACUGAUACAGCCCUCAAAAAAAAGAGGUGAGAUUUCAAUCUUAUGUCACCAACUAAGAGUCAGUGGAAGGACAGGACCCAGAGGGCCAACUGUCACAAGCUAUCUCUAAGCAACAUCUAACGUCCUCAGGGUCCUCAACAGUGCGCCUUUGCUGCAGCACUGCCAAAGGUCACUGCCGCCCUCCGGACAUGCACAUCAGCGCAACAGAUGCUCACAGCUCUCUCGCAAGCUGCCUCGCCCUUAUGAUGAACCAGGGAGCACCUGUUUCCCUCACUAGGUUAUGACCACCGUGCAAAGAAUAAUCAACUAAAAUUCUAAUGUUACUGGGUCUCAUACCGCAGCUCACAGUGCAGCAGAGACAGAGAAGAAGGAAUUUCUUUAUCUUUUGUUUAACUGAACUUGCUCUCCACCCAAGUCCCCACCCACGGCUAAGUGGGAGAAAACUGCCUGUCCCAUCUGACUUAAAGCUGCAUAGUGAGAGUCCCUUGGCUGUCCUAAGCCACUGUGGGGUGCGGCUGCUCAGCGGCUCAGCUCGCCUGGCCGUCCGCCUCGCUGCAGCACGGCUAAGAUGCUGGGAUCUCAUCCAGGUGUGGACGGGGGAAAGGCUGCGGCUUGCUCGCUCCCAGUUGUGUUGAUGGGUCACCAAUGGACCGCUGGCCUCACGGGGGUGCAUGGGUGCACUGGCAGGGGUCUGCACAUCUCCAGUGGGCACUGCUUGUCCAGGCAGCCCUGUUGUCCUUCCAGGCUGGAAUCUUCAGCUGGCAAACUCUGGCUCCAGGGUGUUCUGGAAAAGGACUUGCCCUGCGUUUCCUGCUCCCCAUCUCUGCUCCUCUUCGAGUGAGCUGCAGACAGACCCUGGGUUUCUGCUGUUUCCCUCAGCUCCGGGCCUGGCCAUGUGCUGCAGCCUUCACCGUGGGGUCCCCUUGCUUUGUCACAGCAGGCCUGUGGCAGACCCUUGGGCUCUCAGAGCGGCAUCCUGCAGGCGAGAAAAAUGGGGGUUCCGACUGUCAGCUGGACCUACCCUGUCUGCUCACACCCGCCCACUCUCUUAAGGACCAAGAGGACCACGCGCUGGCCUGGCCCUUCUGUUCCGCCACCUUCUCCCUAAGAUCCAAGUCGGCACGUUGGGCAGGCCCCCCCGAAGUGAUCCCCUCACUUCAUCUAAAAUAUGUACAGUCAAUCCUCACUAUCAGCAGAUUUUGUAUCUGCGAAUUUGCUUACUCACUGAAAUUUAUUUUAAUCCCCAAAUCAGCACUUCUGCACUUUCACGGCCCUUUGUGGAUGCGUGCAGAGUGGCGGCAAAUUUGAGUUGUGCACGUUCCCAGUUGAGGACAUACGAGGUGACACCCUACCUUUCAUUUCAGUGCUCACACGUAAACAAGUGUUCUCAUGGUCUACUCAGUGCGUGUUUUCCAUAGCUGUGUGCCUGGUGUUGGUGAUUUUGCUGUGUAUAGUGGCCCCAGGUGACGUGCUGGACGGCUGUGUUGUGUUCCUAAGAGCAGGAGGCCUGCGGAUGCCUUACAGAGAAAACCCGUGUGACAUGGACUGAAGGUCUGUGUCCUCCAGAAAUCACGAGUGGACGCCCUCACCUCCGGGGCGGCUGAAUUUGGAGAUGGGGCACCUGAGGACAGGCCAGGUCCAGUGGAUCAGGGUGGGGUCCUGACUUGUCUUGUAAGAAGAGACGAGAGCACUCUCUCUGGCCUCAGAGGAAAGGCUAUGAGAGGACGCAGAGGCCAUAUAAAAGCAGAAGAAAGCGCUCACUGGAAACCUACGGUGACCUUGGUCUUGGACUCUCUAGCCUCCAGAACUGUGAGAAAUAAAUUUCUGUUGUUUAAGCCUCGCAGCAUGUAGUAACUCGUGGCAGCCGCAGCCGACUUCCUUCAGGCCGGCUCUGUGAGGCCUUGGCUGUGAGUUCUAUGCCAGCGAAUCAACAGGGUCUAUUAAAGAAAACAGAUACGCGCAUAAAGCAGGGUUAUGCUCUCAUUCGCUAAUGAAUUAAAAACUUCACCUCCGUGAAAGAUACUGUCAAGAGAAUGAGAAGACAAGACACAGACUGGGAGAAAAUAUUUGCAAAGGGCACAUCUGAUAAAGGACUAUUAUCCAAAAUAUACAAAGCACUCUUAAAACUCAACAAUAAGAAAAUGAACAACCUGAUUACAAAAUGGGCAAAAGAUCUGAAUAGAUACCUCAUCAAAGAAGAUAUACAGAUGGCAAAUAAGCAUAUGAAAAGAUGCUCCACAUGGUUUGUCAUCAGGGAAAUGCAAAUUAAAACAAUGGGAUACCACUACAAACCUGUUAGAAUGGCCCAAAUCCAAAACAGUGACAACACCCAGUGCUGGCGAGGAUGUGGGGCAAUGGGAACUCUCCCUCGUGGCUGGUGCGGAUGCAAACGGUGCAGACACCUUGGAAGACAGUUUAACAGUUUCCUACAAAACGAAACCCACUCUUCACACAUGAUCCAGCAGUCACCCUCCCGGGGAUUCACUCAAAGGCCUUGAAAACUCAUAUCUACACAAGCAUCUGCGUGUGGAUGCCUACAGCAGCUUUAUUCAUUAUUGCCCAACUUAGAAGCACCCGCACGUCCUUCAGUAGGGUCUCCCUGGUCUCCUUCCCUCUCCCCUGCCUUCCUCACCUCUAGAAACUCCAGGCCAACGAGG
rnacentral:lncRNA from 1 species